UACGGAGGGAGCUAGCGUUAUUCGGAAUUACUGGGCGUAAAGCGCACGUAGGCGGAUUUGUUAGUCAGGGGUGAAAUCCCGGGGCUCAACCUCGGAACUGCCUUUGAUACUGCAAAUCUCGAGUCCGAUAGAGGUGGGUGGAAUUCCUAGUGUAGAGGUGAAAUUCGUAGAUAUUAGGAAGGACACCGGUGGCGAAGGCGGCCCACUGGAUCGGUACUGACGCUGAGGUGCGAAAGCGUGGGGAGCAAACAGG
rnacentral:rRNA from 1 species